UAUAACCUCAACUCUGAGAACUCAGUAGGUCUGGAAAGGGUGUUCUCAUUCCAUUAUCUCGUUUAAAAUUCCGUUUACGAAACAAGUUCUUCUGCAUGCAAGAUUUAAAAUGGAUUUCCCCAUCGAAAUAUACCUUCACGGGAGCGUACCUUUGCACGAUUAAGAAAUUGCUGAACGCCCAAAUGACAGAAAUGUUGUAUCCGCAAGGCAUCUAAUAAACUUCAGCCGGAAAUAAACUGAAAUCAGUUGAUGGAUUUGUACCUGGACUUGAACCUAAGUGGCGGUCGGAGCAUGCACGGCCAGAUUCAUGAGCCCUGACACGAAAUAUUUUGUGAACCUUCUUCAUGUGGGGAUUCUUCAACAGCACUGCCUUCGGGCAUUCAACCACGAUCGCAAGCGGAAAAAAAAUAUUGAUAGGUAUUUUGUGAUAUACUAUUUCGUCCAUAAGAGCAGCUCUCUUACAUCUGGCGGUGUAUGACCAGAUUUGGGAUUAAGUUCAGAUCCUGGUUCAGAUCCAUCAACUGAAAGCAGUUUAUUUUCGGCUGAGAGGCUUUGCGGAUGCAACGUUGCUGCCAUUUGUUCUUGGUUCUUGUUUCUGUACAAAAACAAGAUGCACGAAAUCUGCUCCAGCAAUUGUGGAGUAAUUGGAAAACAUAGCAUAUAGAAUCCUUUUGACCCUGAACUCAGACGCCUUUUGUAGGGACAACUUUUGAAUGGAAUGCAGGAGCUUCAACUGCUAACUAACCUGCGACACUCGUUUUCGAUUGGCAAUCCGCAAUAGAAGACGUUUUACUAUAACUGGUCUAAGGCACUGUAAUGGAGGAUUGCAAAGGGACUGGACAAUAACAUUGAAAAUACCUCUGAAAUAAAUGCCUGUUGCUGUAUCCUCCACAGUUUUUGUAUAAUAGAGAAGUGGCCAGUUGGGGAAUUCG